UACGGAAGGUGCAAGCGUUAAUCGGAAUUACUGGGCGUAAAGCGUGCGCAGGCGGUUACGUGUGUCGGAUGUGAAAGCCCCGGGCUCAACCUGGGAAUUGCAUUCGAAACUGCGUGACUAGAGUGUGGUAGAGGAAGAUGGAAUUCCACGUGUAGCGGUGAAAUGCGUAGAUAUGUGGAGGAACACCAAUGGCGAAGGCAGUCUUCUGGGCCUACACUGACGCUGAGGUACGAAAGCGUGGGGAG
rnacentral:rRNA from 1 species